rnacentral:rRNA from 1 species
GAAUCGCAUGGCCUUGAGCCGGCGACAUAUCCAUCGAAGGUGUGCCCUAUCAUCUGUCGACUGUGGCAUAGACGCCCACAGUGGAUUUGACGGGUAACGGGGAAUCAGGGUUCGAUUCCGGAGAGGGAGCCUUAAAAACGGCUACCACAUCCAAGGAAGGCAGCAGGCACGCAAAUUACCCAAUGACCGAAGGUCGAGGUAGUGACGAAAAAUAACGAUACGGGACUCAUCCGAGGCCCCGUAAUCGGAAUGAGUACACUUUAAAACCUUUCCAACGAGGAUCUAUUGGAGGGCAAGUCUGGUGCCAGCAGCCGCGGUAAUUCCAGCUCCAAUAGCGUAUAUUAAAGUUGUUGCGGUUAAAAAGCUCGUAGUUGGAUCUCGGCGGCUAGAGGGCGGUAUGCUUCGUAGCAUUACUGCUCUAUUAGCCGUAGUUUUGCUAGAGGUUUCUGGGUGCUCUUAAUCGAGUGUCUAGGGAUGCUAGCGGGUUUACUUUGAAAAGAUUAGAGUGCUCAAAGCAGGCUAUUACGCUUGAAUAUUCGUGCAUGGAAUAAUAGAAUAGGAAGUUGUUUCUAUUUUGUUGGUUUUCGGAAAUCGACUUAAUGAUUAAUAGGGACAGUCGGGGGCAUUUGUAUUCAAACGACAGAGGUGAAAUUCUUGGACCGUUUGAAGACAAGCUACUGCGAAAGCAUUUGCCAAGAAUGUUUUCAUUAAUCAAGAACGAAAGUUAGAGGUUCGAAGGCGAUUAGAUACCGCCCUAGUUCUAACCAUAAACGAUGCCAGCUAGCGAUCUGAGGACGUUUUUUUUGUAGACUCCUCAGGAAGCUUCGGGAAA